UGCCUCGGCAGGGAAUCGAACCAGGGCCGCCAGCGUGGCAGGCGAGCAUUCUAUCACUGAACCACCGAUGGU
rnacentral:tRNA from 1 species